AACGAACGCUGGCGGCAUGCCUAACACAUGCAAGUCGAACGAGACCUUCGGGUCUAGUGGCGCACGGGUGCGUAACGCGUGGGAACCUGCCCUUAGGUUCGGAAUAACUCCCCGAAAGGGGUGCUAAUACCGGAUAAUGUCUUCGGACCAAAGAUUUAUCGCCUUUGGAUGUGCCCGCGUUGGAUUAGCUAGUUGGUAGGGUAAAAGCCUACCAAGGCGACGAUCCAUAGCUGGUCUGAGAGGAUGAUCAGCCACACUGGGACUGAGACACGGCCCAGACUCCUACGGGAGGCAGCAGUGGGGAAUAUUGGAAAAUGGGCGAAAGCCUGAUCCAGCAAUGCCGCGUGAGUGAUGAAGGCCUUAGGGUUGUAAAGCUCUUUUACCCGGGAUGAUAAUGACAGUACCGGGAGAAUAAGCUACGGCUAACUCCGUG
rnacentral:rRNA from 1 species